AUUUCUGAGUUCGUGCCGAGUGGAUGCAAAAGUCCGAAGCGUCCUCGUCGCGAAGGAGAGUGUUGCGUUUCGUUUAUUUUUUCCUGCCCCGUGUCGUCCACACAACUCCGUGAGUGUGAGUGAGAGAGAAAUAUAGUGGUGUGUGGUGAAGCGAAAAAAGGGAAGUGUGUUCGAGGGGCUCACCUUGCUGCUGUAAAAAGCAAGGAAAAGAAAGAUUCUAGCCUUUUCGAGUUUGAGAAUUGUGCAGGUUUUGUGGGGGAUUGUCGGGAAUUCAAGUUUGAAGAAACAAAAAGUUUGGGAUAAAACGGAAAAAUCUGUGCAGAAAUUUGCGUGAAAACGGAGGAAAAGAGAGAGAGAGAGGGGAACCAUUUGAUUGGGUGUUCCGUUCUUUUCCGCUGAGUGCCCCGUGGUGAAAUUUUGAAAAUUUGUGCAAAGUGGAGAUCUAGCCGGAAGAGAACCCCGCCAGGAAAAUGGCCAGCUGUAGGAGGGCACUAGCUUUCACUUCGGUGCUGGUCCUGACCAUCCUGAAAUUGUCCCUCGCACAAACCACAAUCGCCGAUGAUACGGGAGGAGGAACAUCCCCGGCACGGACCGGGGACGGCACGUGCGUCUGGUACGGCGUGUGCAACGUCGCCGGCUCGCCCAGCCUGCAAACCAGCCAGUAUUGUCCGUACAACGGAACCGCCCGACCGGUGGACGACCGGACGCGGGACCUGCUCCAGGUGUGGUGCAAACAUCUGCUGGUGGACGACGCCGUCACGUGCUGUGACGCACAACAGGUCGACGUCCUGAACCAGAACGUCAAGCUGGCGGCCAACUUCCUGGCCCGCUGUCCGUCCUGCAUGGCCAACCUGGUGCGGCACAUGUGCGACUUUACCUGCAGCCCGCAGCAGUCCAAGUUCAUGGAGAUCAAGGCGACCGAGAUGAACACGGACACCAAAAAAGAAUACAUCACCAACAUAGACCUGCACAUCACGGGCCAGUACAUGAACGGAACGUACGACUCGUGCAGUGCGGUGUCGAGUCCGUCGACGGGAAGGCGCGCGCUCGAUCUGAUGUGUGGCUCGUGGGGUGCGUCCAAGUGCAGCGCCCGGAAGUGGUUCACGUACAUGGGCACGACCGAGGGCAACCCGUACGUCCCGUUCCAGAUUAAUUACAUCGAGCAUGACGAACCGACGGUGCCGGCGGCGGAGGAGCAGGAGCUCGUCCCGCUGAACCCACGGGUUGUUCCGUGCAGCGAAAAGCUGGACGCCAAAACGCCGGCCUGUUCGUGUGUGGACUGUGAGCUGUCGUGUCCGCGGCCACCGCCCCCGUCGCCGCCGCCCCAGCCCUUUGUGAUCUACGGGUACGACGGGUACGCCGUCGUCAUGUUCGUGGUGUUCCUCGUGUGCAGUGGGUUGUUCGUGAUUGGUGCGUGCCUGUGCCAGUCCGGCGGAAAUGGUGCCGAACUACUGGUGGAUGGCGACACUUUGCACGCGGACCUGCGCUCGGCCGUGGGCCGCCGGUUGGCCGGUGGGCUGUCUAAUAACAACAGUGGCGAUUUGGGUGGUACCGAUCGGGAAGAUUCGCCCCUGCAAUCGAAAAGAUCGAGCGCCACCUGGGACGGCGAGCAGGAACUCCGACCGCACCCUUCGGCAAUCCACGGCGAUGACGACGCCGAAUCCGGCUACUUUGAGCGUCUCGGAGCCAAAACGGAAACCGCCCUCGAAAAGUUCUUCACCACGUGGGGAACGACCUGCGCGAGCCAUCCCUGGAUCGUCCUCCUGCUCGGUAUGAUCUUCAUCGUGACGAUGGGCUUCGGCAUCACUUUCCUGCACGUCACGACGAAUCCGGUUGAGCUGUGGGCUUCGCCCAACUCGCGAUCCCGCAUCGAGCGGGAGUACUUUGACGCGCACUUUGAGCCGUUCUACCGGAUCGAGCAGAUGAUCAUCCGGGCGGAGAACUUGUCGAACGUGGUCCACAACACCUCGAACGGGGUGAUCGAGUUUGGGCCGGUGUUCAACAAGCAGUUUUUGCUGGACGUGUUUGAGCUGCAGGAGGCGAUCAAGGCCAUUGAGGUUAAGAUUGGGGGGAACAGGACGGUUGGGUUGAAGGACAUUUGCUACGCGCCGUUGAGUACGGACGAGGCGACGGUUGAGCCGGAGAAUUGCGUGGUGCAAUCGCUGUGGGGAUAUUUCCAGGACGAUAUUGAUAACUUUGACUCGGAGGACGACGAUCCGCUGGGAUUCCAGACGAACUAUUUGGACAACUUGGUCAAGUGCUUUGGAAAUCCUUUUAAUCCUGACUGUCUGGCGCCGUACGGUGGGCCGAUCGAGCCUGCGAUUGCGCUGGGUGGAAUUCCGGUGACGAAGUCGGCGCUAGACAAGCCCAAGUACGAGCAAGCUACGGCUGUGAUAUUGACAUUCCUGGUGAAGAACUACCACGACAAGAGUAAGCUCGAGGGAGCUCUCCGCUGGGAGGAGAGCUACGUUGCGUUCAUGAAGAACUGGACCAAGGCGAACAUGAGUAUCGCGUUCACGUCGGAGCGAUCGAUCGAGGACGAAUUGCAGCGGGAAUCGCAGUCGGAGGUUUCGACGAUCCUCGUUUCGUACAUCAUCAUGUUUGCGUACAUUGCGAUCUCGCUGGGCCACGUCAACCAGUGGAGCCGAGCGUUGAUCGAUUCCAAGAUCACUUUGGGCUUGGGCGGUGUCGUGAUCGUGCUGGCUUCCGUGGUGGCUUCGGUCGGAAUAUUCGGGUACAUUGGAAUCCCGGCGACGUUGAUCAUCGUUGAGGUUAUUCCGUUCCUUGUGCUCGCCGUCGGAGUUGACAACAUCUUCAUUCUGGUACAAACGCACCAGAGGGACACUAAGAAGCCAACGGAGACGCACGCGGAACACAUCGGACGCAUUCUCGGUCGCGUUGGACCAUCGAUCCUGCUGACGGCGGUCAGCGAAAGCUGUUGCUUCUUCCUGGGCGGUCUUUCCGACAUGCCUGCCGUACGUGCCUUUGCUCUGUACGCCGGAAUGGCUCUGCUGAUUGACUUUUUCCUGCAAAUCACCUGCUUCGUAAGUUUACUAGCGCUGGACACGGCUCGCCAGGCGGACAACCGGCUCGAUGUCCUGUUCUUCCUGCGAGGAUCGAAAAAAGACAUGCCCACCGGAGCCAACAAGGAAGGACUGCUGUACAAGUUCUUCAAGAGCAUCUACGUGCCUUUCAUCAUGCAGAAGCCGGUUCGCGUCGGCGUGAUGGUCAUCUUCUUCGGCUGGCUGUGCUGCAGCAUUUCCGUCGCGCCCCACAUCGACAUUGGCCUGGAUCAGGAACUCUCGAUGCCCGAGGACAGCUUCGUUCUGAAGUACUUCCGCUACCUCGGCCAAUAUCUCAGCAUCGGCCCACCGAUGUACUUUGUCGUGAAGAAUGGCCUCAACUACUCGCACGCGUACGAUCAGAAUCUAAUCUGCGGAGGUCAAAACUGCAACCUGGACAGUCUGUCAACCCAAAUCUACAUCGCAAGUCGACGACCGGAGGAAACGUACAUCGCACGCCCCGCCUCCUCCUGGCUGGAUGACUACAUUGACUGGUCAGGAGCGCCAACCUGCUGCAAGAAGCGCACCGACGGCAGCUUCUGUCCCCACACGACAGCCUCGUGCAAGUCCUGCCAGAUGAACCUAACCGAUCUCAACCGACCCAACCAAACCGACUUCCGGCGCUACGUUUCGUUCUUCCUGCAGGACAACCCGGACGAUCAGUGCGCCAAGGCCGGUCACGCCGCGUACGCCACCGGCGUCAACAUCCUGCAAGACAAAUCCAACGCUAUCUUCAGCGACGUGCAAGCCUCCUACUUCAUGGGCUACCACACGAUUCUCAAGACCUCAUCCGACUACUACGAAGCGCUCCGUUCCGCCCGAAAAAUCAGCACCAACAUCACCAGCACGAUCCACGCCAAACUCCGGCUGGACGGCCGUCCCGAAGCGGAAAUCCAACAGAUCGAGGUGUUCCCGUACUCCGUAUUCUACGUGUUCUACGAGCAGUACCUCACCAUGUGGCCGGACACGCUCAAGAGCAUGGGCAUCUCCGUGCUCUCCAUCUUCGUCGUAACGUUCCUCCUGAUGGGCUUCGACAUCCACUCGUCGCUCGUCGUCGUCAUCACCAUCACCAUGAUCGUCAUCAACAUCGGUGGCCUCAUGUACCACUGGAGCAUCUCGCUGAACGCGGUCUCCCUCGUAAAUCUCGUGAUGGCCGUCGGCAUCAGCGUCGAGUUCUGCUCGCAUCUCGUGCACAGCUUCUCCGUGUCGUUGGAGGAAACGCGCGAAAAGCGAGCCGCGGACGCCCUCACCAAGAUGGGCAGCUCCGUCUUCUCCGGCAUCACGCUCACCAAGUUUGGAGGCAUCCUCGUGCUGGGCUUCGCCCACAGCCAGAUCUUCCAGGUGUUUUACUUUAGGAUGUACCUCGGCAUCGUGCUGUUCGGUGCCGCGCACGGUCUCGUGUUCCUGCCGGUGCUGCUCAGCUAUAUCGGUGCCCCCAUCAACAAGGUGAAGCUGGCCAACUACCGGCGGCAGGUGAUGCAGGACACCCAGGAGACGUCACUGUCAACCGUAAGCAAACCCAAACCACCACCACCACCAACCGCGAUCAUUCGCUGUAGCUCUUGUUGCUGUCGUGACUGUUGUACUAGAUUCACGCGCCGCACUCGCACCACCACCACCAGCAAUAAUAACUCUAGUACUAGCACGGUUCUGGGUUGCACCCGGUCGGCUUCGUUUGUGGUCGCUAGUGGGCGAGGGUUUGACCAGCAGCAGCGCCGCUACUACUUUGGCAUGGUUCCCAUCGAAACGUCGUCGCCCGAGGCGGUGCUACCAGUUAAGGGUGGUAGUAGAAGGGGGCGGAAUGUUGGAAGGGAGCGAAGGAGCUUCUGGCGGUGGAUCAGCGGGUGGCGAAGGGUUAAGCAGGACUACGAUCCGGCCAGCACCAGCUCCACGUUCUACUCCAACCCGGACUACUGCCUCGGGGCGACGUUGAAGCUUUGAAACGCUUGCCGCUUUGUUUUGUUUGAAUAGUAGCUUAGUACUAGAUUAGUGGCGUGAUGCAUCGCAGAAGACGUUCCAGCGACGACGUCACCUCCCCCAACACCUACCAUGAGAUUGAGAACGAUGAUGAUGACGAAGA
rnacentral:misc_RNA from 1 species